rnacentral:rRNA from 1 species
CCUACGGGCGGCUGCAGUGGGGAAUAUUGCACAAUGGGCGCAAGCCUGAUGCAGCCAUGCCGCGUGUGUGAAGAAGGCCUUCGGGUUGUAAAGCACUUUCAGCGGGGAGGAAGGCGUUAAGGUUAAUAACCUUGUCGAUUGACGUUACCCGCAGAAGAAGCACCGGCUAACUCCGUGCCAGCAGCCGCGGUAAUACGGAGGGUGCAAGCGUUAAUCGGAAUUACUGGGCGUAAAGCGCACGCAGGCGGUCUGUCAAGUCGGAUGUGAAAUCCCCGGGCUCAACCUGGGAACUGCAUUCGAAACUGGCAGGCUAGAGUCUUGUAGAGGGGGGUAGAAUUUCAGGUGUAGCGGUGAAAUGCGUAGAGAUCUGGAGGAAUACCGGUGGCGAAGGCGGCCCCCUGGACAAAGACUGACGCUCAGGUGCGAAAGCGUGGGGAGCAAACAGGAUUAGAUACCCGAGUAGUC